GGAAGGCGGCCGCACCGUCAUCACCGAACCGGGACGCGUCAUCGUUCAGGAUCCGAACGGACAGUCCUUCGUCCGUCACAACGACGUCGAUCGUUUCCGUUACGGCGCGCGCGACGUGCGUGUGACCCGUGAUGGCAGGGAUACGCGCACCGUCGUCGUUCGUCCUGACGGCACGCAGAUCAUCACCGUCAACGAUGAACGUGGUGGCCUGCUCCGGCGUAUCCGCCGCGACCCUUAUGGCCGCGAGGUGA
rnacentral:misc_RNA from 1 species